UACGGGGGGGGCAAGCGUUGUUCGGAAUUACUGGGCGUAAAGGGCUCGUAGGCGGCCAACUAAGUCCGACGUGAAAUCCCCAGGCUUAACCUGGGAACUGCGUCGGAUACUGGAUGGCUUGAAUUCGGGAGAGGGAUGCAGAAUUCCAGGUGUAGCGGUGAAAUGCGUAGAUAUCUGGAGGAAUACCAGUGGCGAAGGCGGCAUCCUGGACCGGUAUUGACGCUGAGGCGCGAAAGCUAGGGUAGCAAACGGG
rnacentral:rRNA from 1 species